AAGUGGUUGACUUUGCUGAGGAACUUUCGAUUCAUAUAGAAAGAAUUUUAGAUUACCUGUAUCAGUUUAGUGUAAUACCAGAUGAGGAGACAACAAAGCUUAAAAAUGAUGCAAAGAGAAAUCCACAAGAAGCUUGUAGAAAUUUGUUUAAAGCACUCCUUGCGACCAGUCCUAAAAAAGAGCCAAUUAAACAUCUGAGAGCUGCAUUCAGGGAUUGUGGUCUUGGGUAUCUGGCAGAUGAACUAGAAGUCAGCUACCAGGACGUAGAGGAUGAAAUACAGAAACAUGGAAGUGGCCAACCUUCUUGUGAAGAGCCGUUGGCGAUAGGAAUGUCAGCUCCCCCCACACCUGCAACAGGUGAAAACCCUAUUGGAGAACAUUAAAACUGUGUGUACAGUAUUUGACAGUAUGUGUCAAGAUUUUUAUGCUAUUUGGGUCACCGUGGACUAAGAACAUAUGGUGUAUUACCACAUAUAUUGACAUCAGACAAAUAAAGUGACUGUUUGUAUUUACUGAUUUUGAACAAGCUUGCUGUUAAACUACAGUGAGGAAGACGUUCAUAUUUGCAGUUCAGCAUCAACUGUGACCCUAACUUUUAACAGGAAGAUGACAGAAAUUUUAAGCAAAACCCAUUGGCCCAUGAAACCAUCAAUACUGUUAGGGGACUUCAAUGUUGAUUUGUCUUACAGUAGAUCUAGAGCUCCUACAACCUCUGUUUAUGUUCCUCUUUUAUAAUACCACCAACAAGUUAUUGUCUCACCAACAUUGAGGUGUAUCAAAGACACACUAGUGUUUUUGACCAUUUUUUUUUUUUUUAUGUACAAGGCGUAAAACCAGUAGAAACAGGUACACUGCACCUAUUACAGUGCCAUGAUCCUGUAUAUGUUAUUAUACCCAUCUAUGUACAAGGUGUAAAACCAGUAGAAACAGGUACACAGUGCACCUAUUACAGUGUCAUGAUCCUGUAUAUGCUAUUAUACCCAUCUGUUAAAACUAGCUUAUAAAUUACUCCUUUAGUUCAUUCCCACAAACAAAAAUGGAUAUUUGUAAAAAGCACUGUAUAUAUGUUAAAAAGCAUCCGUAUGUAUUUUAUGUAAAUAUAUUCUGAUAAUGUCAACACCAUGUAAUUUAUGUAAAUAUAUCCCCUUAAAGAUGGCAACACUACAAAUACGUGGGAAGGUGUUUUAAUAUGUAAAAGAAUAGUUUGUAAAGUAUAGUUUGAUAAUUUUACUAGUGUAUGCAUGUAAGUCCAUUUAUU